GGGGGCGAAACGGUUUCGACGGGGGCAUUUAAACAAAACCGGCGGAUAGCGGUGGAAAUCGCUUUAAAAGUUCCAAACUUUAAAUUAAAAGCUAACGAUAAUUUAGCAUACGCUGCCUAAUAUAGGGUAGCCGUUCUUACCGAGAGGACCACGGCUUGGAUAAGAGCGUCACUUAGUGGUGAAUGUGAGGCGCCUAAGCUUUGCAGCGCCCAUGAAAAAUGAAGCUACCAAAUUUUAAAGCUUGUUUGUGUGCUUUAUAAUGAGGGAAUGUUAAACACAAAAUAUGUCCGUAGAAGGUUUUGCGGCGUGUUUUCGGACGGGGGUUCAACUCCCCCCGCCUCCACCA
rnacentral:tmRNA from 1 species